rnacentral:rRNA from 1 species
CCCUUAGAUGUCCUGGGCCGCACACGCGCUACACUGAAGGAGGCAGCGUGUACUCCUGGAUCGAAAGAUUUGGGUAACCCGCGAAUCUCCUUCGUGCUAGGGAUUGAGGUUUGCAAUUAUCCUUCAUGAACGAGGAAUUCCCAGUAAGUGCAAGUCAUAAGCUUGCGCUGACUACGUCCCUGCCCUUUGUACACACCGCCCGUCGCUACUACCGAUUGAAUGAUUUAGUGAGGACUUCGGACUGGGACCGAUGCGGCUUUCGGGCUGCGUCGGUAUUCUGGAAAGAUGUCCAAACUGUAUCAUUUAGAGGAAGUAAAAGUCGUAACA